rnacentral:tRNA from 1 species
AAUUAGAUGCCUGAUUAAAAGGACUAUUUUGAUAGAAUAGAUGAUACAUUUUUAUGUUCUAAUUA